rnacentral:rRNA from 1 species
UCCUCAAUAGCUAGCCUUAGCCCGCCCCCGCUACCAACCCACAUUCCCCACCCUUAAAUGAACGCCCCCUAGCAAUCAAACCAUUUUUCCACCCCAGUAUAGGCGAUAGAACAGGUGCCUUAAGCGCUAUAGAAACCAAGUACCGCAAGGGAAAGCUGAAAGAGAAAUGAAACAACUCAACGAAGGACCCAAAAGCAGAGACUAACCCUCGUACCUUUUGCAUCAUGAAUUAGCUAGUACCCUCAAGCUAGAAGAAUUUUAUGUUUGACCCCCCGAAACCAGACGAGCUACUCCAAGACAGCCUAUUGCAGGGCAAACCCGUCUCUGUGGCAAAAGAGUGGGAUGAUCUUUGAGUAGAGGUGAUAGACCUACCGAGCCUGGUGAUAGCUGGUUGCCUGAGAGCAGAAUAGGAGUUCUACUUUUUAGCAUCUUUCAUCACGCACGGACCCUCCACAGACCGAGUCAAAGAUGGCUAAAAAAGGUAUUCGAAAGAGGAACAGCUCUUUUGAAAAAAGACACAACUUUACUAGUAGGCUAAAGAUUAUAGCAAGAAAGGCCCUACACCCAGGUGGGCCUAAAAGCAGCCACCCUAGAAGAAAGCGUUAAAGCUCAAGUGUUCAAGCCCUAAUAUCUCAACACCCAUAUCUUAUGCCCCUUAGUGUAUCAGGCCGCUCCAUGCACCCAUGGAAGCGUUUCUGCUAGUAUGAGUAAUAAGAGAGCUAAAGCCUCUCUCGAAUGCACCUGUGUACAUCAGAACGGACCCCCGCUGAAAACUAACGCCCCCACCCCCAGAGGGCAAUGAGUCAACCUAUCAACCCCUAGUAAACCCCUCAGCUAUUAGCGUUAAUCUCACACUAGAGUGCCCCACGAAAGACACAAAGGAAAAGAAGGAACUCGGCAAACUCUGGCCUCGCCUGUUUACCAAAAACAUCGCCUCUCGAAUAAUAUGAGAGGUCCCGCCUGCCCUGUGACGAAAGUUUAACGGCCGCGGUAUUCUGACCGUGCGAAGGUAGCGUAAUAACUUGUCUUUUAAAUAGAGACCUGUAUGAAUGGCAUAACGAGGGCUAAGCUGUCUCCUUUUUCUAGUCAAUGAAAUUGAUCUCCCCGUGCAGAAGCGGGGAUUGCAGCAUAAGACGAGAAGACCCUAUGGAGCUUUAGACGCUGGAACAGACCAUGUUAAAGACCCUGCCACACCAGGAAAUAACCCCGUGGACCCUCUUCCCCUGUCUUUGGUUGGGGCGACCGCGGGGAACCACAAAACCCCCACGAGGAACGGGGCCAUCCCCCUAAACCCAGAGCCACAGCUCUAAUUAACAGAACAUCUGACUUUAAGAUCCGGCACUGCCGAUCAACGGACCGAGUUACCCUAGGGAUAACAGCGCAAUCCCCUUUUAGAGCCCAUAUCGACAAGGGGGUUUACGACCUCGAUGUUGGAUCAGGACCUCCUAAUGGUGCAGCCGCUAUUAAGGGUUCGUUUGUUCAACGAUUAAAGUCCUACGUGAUCUGAGUUCAGACCGGAGUAAUCCAGGUCAGUUUCUAUCUAUGACGUGCUCUUUUCUAGUACGAAAGGACCGAAAAGAGGGGGCCCCUGCUUUAGACAUGCCCCGCCCCCAUCCAAUGCUGCCCACUAAAAUGGGUAAGCGGGCACAACCUCCCUGCCUGAGUUAAAGGCAA